rnacentral:lncRNA from 1 species
UAGGGUUUCAGGCUCCACCAUGGUUCCAUUGCUACAUUUUUUUUCUCGUUGCUUCAGUUCAAGUAGUGCUCAACUAAACAAUAUUUUAAAAGACUAUAUGUAUGAUAUAUGCAAUGAAUAAAUGACUGAAUAAAAAGGCUGGUAGAGUGUCAUACUCAAUCAGUACGUGUAUCUUCCUUCAAGAAUACUGAAGUGUUUACUCAAAAGUAAAAAAAAAAAAAAAGGAAUUAGUUAAGUGGGAGAUCUUAAUGAAAGAUCCUAAGUUAAUCACUGCCUCAGCAACGAGCAUUUCUCCUCUGUACUGAAGUAGUUGCUCUUCCUCUUAUAGUCAAUUCCUA